ensembl:lncRNA
CGCUUGCCCCCCUCGGUCUCCCCCCUGGGUGCGUGUGUGCGUACCCCUCCCGGCGGCUGACCCCAACCCAGGGCUGACCCUUGGGAAGGAGGGGAUCUAGAAAGGGGACAGCCCCAUUUCGCACCCAGGUGUGCUGCAAUCCGGGCGGGUUGGGUCCCUUCUCCUUAACCCCCGCCUCGCCAGCCGCCGCCGGCGCUCCCCGGAGCCCCGCUCCCCCCGCUCAGCCUCCGCUGCUCAGCCUCCGCUGUACCGCGCUGCCUGCCGCCUUCCUCCCCCCACCGCCCAGCCGCGAUGCAGCAGCAGGGAUGGAGUUGUAGUGGUGCUGGGCGGAGGGGGUGAGGUAAGGGUGGGGGGGAGGUUUGCCUGAUGAUUUUUUUUUUUUUUAAUUUUUUUUUUUUUUCCUCCAAGUGAGGACUAAUACCAUCACUGGGCCUGCUCUCUUUUUCCCUUCCUGCAUUAGAGAUUGGCUAUAAGGAGAAGGCUGACGGCUGCAGCAUGAAGCGCAUUAUUACCUUGUGAUUCCAUGACCCUCCUCUAUGCAUCCCUAACUCUCGAAAGCUGAUUCAGCUUUCAGCUAGUGCUCUGGUGAGUCCUCUGCUGCAACAGAAGCUCCUAACUGGUAUGUCUCUUUUUUUCCUUCCCCUCUUCUGCUCCCUUUCUUCCCUCUAACUGCACUAGCUCAGCUCGUUUUUAAACACUUUUCUGACCGAUGCAGGACUGAGUGCCCAUCCAACUUACCCGGGGACUUAAAUGUCUGCUUUUGCAUCCGGCAAAUGUGUGUGUGCUGCGUGUGUGUGUGUCUGUGUGGGGAUGUGCCGGCUGCCUCUAAUCCAUGGAUGAGUUGGGAGACCUUCCCCCCACCUUUAUUCUUUUUUGUUGUUGUUGUUCUGCUGUGGCAUACUCUGCAUUUAAAGGGGGGGAAAAAAAAAAGGAACAAACUGCAGAGCAAGCAGUGCACUAUAAUAAUCUGAACUGAAAUGUUAGAACUUUGACAUGCAGCCGUUCUGCAAGGUUAAACUGGCCUUUAAAUGCCUAAUUCAGAGCCAGGCUGGCUAAUGACACCUAGGGGGAUUGGGGCUUCAUUUAUUUAUUUGCACCAAACUAGUGGCUCUGAGCUAAUACCAAACAGAGCAAAAGGGUGAAAUGUGGUUAAACUUAGCCUAACUUGCAGUGAUCUCAGUGCUGCGGUGAUUAACUGUUCCAAUGCCGAGAACUGAGCGUUAAUUGCGGACGCAUGGCUUGUGGGCAAUCAGAAAGGAGAUGCAAGGAGAAGUUAGGUUUUCCCUGCAAGGGGUUUGAAUUCAGGUUACACUUCAUCCAUCAAUCGGCUGUUAUUGCUUUUGCAGCUGAGAGUUAGCUGUGGUCAUUAUAUUUUAUAUGAUAGUGGUGAUACCUGAUCACAUAAAUGUAUAUGCAUUGGUAUUGUGUGAGGGGUACUGUGUUAUAUACACGCAUGCACACAAACUGGGAUAUCUUUUAUAGCAUGCAUAUGUAUAUUUUACACGGCUUUAUACAGAGAUAUUAAAUGCUAUUAUAAACAGGUGUAGCACAUGAUCCCAAUACAAUGCACCUUCAGUCUGUGCUUGGAGUAUGGCUAUUUGCAUAUGUCUGUGCUGGAGAGAGUGUGCACUCAGCAGUCGUGUGUAAUUGUGGAGGCAGAGCCCUGUGAUCUGGCUGGCAGUUUAAUUGCUGGUUCCCUGGUGCGGGUGGCCAUGCUGCCGCCCCAAAGGACUGAGCCUGGUCCAUUCCCUGCAGCUCGGCCCUGCUGGCUUCCCUUGGCUGUGCCCAGCCCCAAACCAGGCUGCCUCCAAGUCCCUGAAGUUUUGCACUGCACAGCCACAGCCUGACUUUGCCACCGGGACUGGAGGAGCUCCUCCAGAAUGGGAUAGAGGGAGCAGGUGUACAGCAUCAUGCUUCCAUCCUUCCCACUCCCUCCAUCCCUCCAUCUCCAUCCUUCCCUUUUAUUUGCUCCUUGCACUCUGCACUAUCCACAUUCCCAUGCAUUUUUCCCCCCACAACAACCACAAUUUUAUUGUGCAGCUUUUUCUGCUCUGGGUGAGCCGAGGUGUGUGGAGGAUGCUGGGCGAUGCUCGCCCACCACCCAUUACUCCUGGUGCUCACUGUAGGAUGUGGACCACAAAGUGCCUCUGGCGUCACCAUUAAAUCACCACCACGCCGCAUGUCUGCUCCUCCACCAGCAGGGCCAACCCUACAACUCACAGGCAGAUUGAAAUCUAGAUCCACCGCCUUUCUGGGAGCAACCAACAGAUGAACCUCGCUGCUGCGGUUGUUCCACUGUCUUCAAUAUUUGUAAGGAUUUUAUGUGCCAUCUUUUAGUUCCCUGUAGUUGGCUGGCAUCCCCUUCUCCUGCUCAUCUGCAGAAGUUUGGGACAGUUCAGGACAGUCCAUGGCAGGUGGAUUUCAGGAAAGCAAAUUGGGAGUGAGGUGAAAUGUGCAAUGGUCCAAGACGUCAAGUAGCUGUUCUGUUCCGUUGCUUGGCCUGUUGGUGUUUGUCUGAGGGGAAUUCUACAUGGCCAAGCGACUUGGCCAUGUGAAACCCACCUGAACUCAGUUCUUUGUGGGCUUUUGAGGAAUUCUUUUUAGAAUCGGAGCACCCAGGCUUUCCCUCACGCUCCUCUCCCUUCACUUUAAUUUCACUGCAGUCAUGCAUUAUCAUGGUGCCACAGCUCCAUCUCUCUUCCCCUUACUCCAAACCAGUGGUGGAAAUUUGCCUCAAAAUGAGACAAAUGACGACAUUUAGUGGGGCCAGAAGCCCUGUGGCAGUGAGGAAGGGCACAGUGCCGAACCAGCACUGGGCUCACACCCACUCUGCUGCGUGGUGCAUGGCACUGAGGGGUUGAGAAGAGUCCAUGGGUUUGCACCCCGGCUCUGCGGGGCUUUGCAGCCUGAUGGUGUGGAAGUCAAUCAGCACAGGGAAGUAUUUACUCCCACUCUCCCAGCGAUAUAUUUCACAAAGCAGCGGAAAAAAAAACAAACAAAAAACCAACAACAACAACAACAAAAAAAACACCCAACACAUCGAUACAAUUAAGUAUUCCAAAGUGCUUACUUUGCCACUUGCUAAGUUUACUUAAACCCUCUUUAAAGGCUUCAUUAGAAACCGGUGAGAAAUGGCCAAAUUCAUUAGCGUCGAGGCAGGCGUUGUGCAUUUCGCCUGCAAAUUGCAAUCGAGCGGCGGCGGGGCGAGGGGCGCAGGUGAGCGCACACCCGCUGUGCUGAGCGAGCGGCAGUGCCCGCCGUGACCUCCGGAAUGCCGCCCUGCAUUCAGCCCAGCCACAUUGUUCCGGAGCUUUAAAGCUCAGCGUGGCUGCUGGCGGAGGGCAGAGGCAACGGGAACUGAUGGCUGCGUGUGGGGAUGAGCCCCACGGGGACAACUCCGAAAGACUUUUUUGGCCUAAGCCACCAGCACGGGGCUGGGGCUGCUUUUUAGUUUGCAUCUCUGCUGGUGUCUACCCCAGGUGUGGGGCUCCGCUGGAUGACUUGUGAAAAGCGAAUUGUUUUUUAUAUACGUUUUUUGACUACCCCGAAAUCCCCCGCCCUUCUCCCAAGGUAUAUUGGGGAUUGUUUGCUGCAAGGUAGUGUCACACUCACGGUGACCAGCAGAGGAAAAAUCACUGGAUUCUUUAGGUAAGAUGCUUUCUUCUUCCUAUGCCUUAAUCUCUACUUAGUGCUGGAAACGAUGGCGUGUCUGUAGCUGGUGAGUUCUCUUGCUCUGCCAGAUGGAGCACUUCUUGCUGGUGUUGCUUUGUAAAUCAGUGCCGGAUGCUGGAUUUUGGCUUUCUGAAAGCAAAUUGGCUUCUUGUUUCUAAAUUGCAGGAUGGAGGCGAUCGGGAUUUGAUAUCUACUUAACCUCCACCCACAUGGCUUUGUCUAAAUCUAUAUACACAUAUAUAUAUGCAUAUAUAUAUAUACACAGAAAGCAAAUUCCUUCUACUAAAGCCUUUUUAAUUGCUGAAAGUUUGCAAUUUCAGUGAAAGCAUCCUCUUUGUAGGGGGGCUGGGAGUGGGGCUUUUCCUCUGUGCCAUUCCAUGACAAAGUGCUGCAGGCACUCUAGGCAUUGCCCACUGCCUCUUCCCAGCCCUAAACCCCAGCAACCUGCAGGGGCAGAGCCGGAAUGACCAGCAAGGGGAGUGAGUGUGUGUGUGUGUGUGUGUGUGUGCAUGUGUGUGUUUUGCACAUGGGCUGCCUCAAACUGCGCUGUAACUCACUCCUGGGAAGUAAAUGGCACGCCAGCCCUAUUUCCUCCCGUGUACAUAUAAAUGCGCAUAUUGAACCUACCUGCUUGAGAGACAUACUUCUUUAUAUGCCCAUAUGAACCUGGCAAUCUAUGGAAUGUAAAGAAGUAUGUAUUUCAGGUGGGAACUCUUCUCGGAGGAGCAAUGUAUGACCCCAUGUGAAGGGGGGGGGGAGGAAGACAGACAGAUUUUUGUCUUUUUUUUUUUGAGAUGCCUGACAUGGCAGACUGGCUGGGGAGUCAAUUGGUGAUCUUGUUCCAGUGCGUGUAUUGUUCUGUCACUUUGCCUGUGUCAGCAGGUGGAAAUGCUCAUCAGGACAUUAAAUAUUCAAUAUGCUGACUGCGGCAUGGGCUUUGAAAGGCGAUGCCAGAGGAAAGCUGGCUGUCCACUCCUGGUUUUCAGCGGGGAUACAGACCAGUCCCUCCGGAUUGCUGCUUCCCCCUCGGCCCUUUUUCCCGAAAAUAAGGCUGGGUAACAGAGCUGGUCCUUAAUCCUAGGGAAAAGGAAAGGAGUUGGAGGCGGGGAGAAGAAGGGAAGGAGUUGUGACUUGGAGGUGCAGUAUUUUGGCUUCACGUGAAUACGCAGACAGCUUUUGGGAUGUUUCCUGUGUUAAAACUUUUUGUGCUUAAUGCUGGAGAGGCAGCAAUGUUCACCAUGCGUGUGUUGGCCCUUGGACACGGCCAGUGGGUGCCCAGCUCCCAGCCAGAGGCAGUGAGCGCUCCCAGUGUGUGUUAUUAGAGGGAAAUAAGGAAAAUAGCACCUUGAAUUUGAGAAGCUUUCCUGGUGUUCUGGUUUUCCUUUUUAACCUUUCUCAUCGUAAAACACCUGGUUAUUCUCCCAGCAUCCCACGGCAGUGAGAUGCGGUGAUACAAAUGGGUGUAACGUUCUGUGCGAACAAUCAGAACUUUCUGUCUGGGUAGGGGCGGGUGAAGCUUUCAGCCCCCAUUUUCCUCAAGCUUAUGAGAUGCACAUAUCUGGGCUGUUAGGCACCGCAUUUCUCCAUCCCACCUACUCCCAAACUUAUCCCCAUCACCCCGCCGUGCAGCCGAGGGCACAGCAGUGUUCUGCUCUGGAGCAAGUUCCCUCUGGUUUCAGCACAUCUCUGUGCUUGGCAAAAGUGCUCCGAAGGCCUUUGCUGAGCCUCAGUUUGUUGUGAUUCAUGGCAAGCACCGCUGCCACUUGUUACACGUACACCAAAUGGGGUUUAAUGGAAAGCAGGCACUUGUGAAUAGCAGGUUAAGUAAGGAGGGCUGGGCUCUUAAGGAGAUUUCCAAUGUACAGAAUUCUGUAAGUUUUAUAAAUCUUUCUUUUUUUAGAAAGAUGAUACAAGUGGUGGACACACAUGGAGUGCUCAACCUCUGCUUGGGGGAGGAGGGACCUCUGCUUUGCCAGGUGCUUUGAGGAGAGGCAUUGUCCCCUGGACAGGGAUGGGUCCCAGCCACUGAGGGUGUCCUGCCCCAGUUUGGGGCCACAAUUAAAUACAAAGGUGCUGGGAAAUGAAUAGAGACGGAGCAGCAGAGUUCCCAUGGCCAAACAGGGCUGCAAUUUCUCUCACUUGUACAUCACUGCUGGGAGCUUGACUUGCUGUGUGAAAAAUGGGGAUGAUUCUCACCAUUCUGGCCACAAUAGCAAUUUCCCUCCUCUCCCAGGUGACCCUUUACCCUACCUCUUCUCGAUUCCCUUUUCCUCACUGCUUUCCUCUCCUUCCUUCUUUCCUUGUCUUCUACUUACUUGUGUGCUUCUCAUUUUCUCCUUAUUUCUAGCUUGCUUUCUUGCUUUCAACUCCGCUCUUAUAUUUUUCUCGUCUUUAUUUUCUUUUUUUUCUCUUUUCUUUCAUUCUCUCAUUGUCUUGCUCUUUCUUUUUCUUGUUUUCUUCUCUUUCUCUGCAUUCUCAGCGCGGGUGUUGCUGAGCCUUCCACACCACUGUGCAUAUCUGUAGCAAAGGUGCUCAUGGUCUGAUUUACAACAGAUACCUGCAUCCCUAAUGCAAUUUUUAUCUCCUUCCCCCUCUCUGAAUUAAUAUGCUUGUUAAUCACACGGAAUUGCUAACUUUAGGAAGUCACUAAGUGUUCAGAUUUAUUUUUAUGUAAAUAUUUUCAAAACCAUAACUCAGCUCUGUCUCACGGUGUGGGAGCCACGUGGUGGAGGUGUGCGGGUGCAGAACACAUCCUGAGACCCUACCCCGUCUCUGGUGCAGUGUGGCAAUGCCAAAAAUUAAAUAGAAAUGCUGUAAAGACCCCAAAACCACGUCAGCCCUUUAGUCAUUAGCAUCGUCCACCAGUUUGCGCCGUUCUUACUCUUAGCUCCAGCUCCUUCUCUCUUUUCUUCUUGUUUGGAUUAAAACUGUGACUGUUCCUCCACACUAGGUCCUCCCUAUUUCUUAGUUUGAAGAAAGCCUCUUCUCCUUCGCUCUCCAUAGAGCAAAGCUGCAGGUUCUGUGCUGAAGCGAGGCGCGAUGCUCGGCUGUGCCCAUCCGUCCCGCAAAGCGCGCACUGAGCGGUCCCACCAGCAGAAACGGGAGCUCUGAGGACUGUAAAAGCCAUAAAUCCAGUGGACCAAAUUAGUUACGUUUUCCUAUUCUAUGCCUCACAAAACCCAUCCGUUCUUGAGAUGAAUUUUCUGCACAUAAGAGGAACUACGGGCAGGUAUAGAAUGAGAAUUUUGCACACGCGCAUGGGAGCACGGGGAUGAAUUCGUGCUGUGUGUUUUCCCCUGAAUUAUUUUUUUCCCUUUCAUGUGUUUAUGUUGAUGAGCUAUUAUUACUUUUGUUGCUAUUACUUAAUACUGGAAGACAGGUGGUCCAAUAAAUCCCAGCACUCUUUUUUUGUAAAAAAAAAAAGGGGGGGGGGGGGCAUAUUUGCAAUUCAAGUUUAAUAGUGCAUUCAUCAAGAGCAAUAAAGCAUUCAUUUUAUUGCACGAGUAUUUCAAGGGAUGUGCUGGCCCUGGUGAAAGCAUUAGUAAAGGGGUGCAUCAGCAAUCUCAUUUAAAACUGUCGACCCAAUGUGAAAAAUGUUGCGUUGAAGAAUAAACUGCUAUUAAGCAUGAUUAGAUUGACCUGCAGGACAGAUAUUUUAGCUGCUGCAGCACAAGUCGAUCAAAGUGAGCAUCGCUUAGAUUGCAAAUUUUUUUUUUUUUAAUGCCCUAAAUUAAAAAUGAAAGAGCCUCAGAAUAUUUAGGACCAGAGAGUGACUUUGGGGGUGAGAUUUGUGUGUUUGAUUUGAGGAGGUUUGGAAAGGUGGAGAACGGGGGGAAAACAUAUUAAUUGCUGCCCCUUUAGCAUACAUUGAAAGUAUGUUACUCGGAUCAACCAAUCAAAAAAGAAAUUGUGCUGACUCAGCAUUCGGGCUAGUCUGCACGUCCGAUUGCAGAAGAGAUCAGCACUGCACUGCAGUAUCUUUCCCUGCCUUUGACACCAGCCUAGCUGGGCAGGGCUUCCCUUGUGCUUCCCAGGACUGGGUUAGGCCAAGAACAAGAGCGGGCUCUGAAGAAACGAGGAGAGAGACAAGGUUGCAGGAGCCUUGAGCUGCUCCGAGGCUUUUUAGUCUGUAAGCAAGAGCUUCCAUGCUAGGUUUGCCCUGCCAGAUGCGAGCGGCAUGUAUUGCUUGGGAAUAUAUCUAUUUUUAAAGAGUUUCACCACAUCUUGCACUUCACGGUGGCUGUGGGCGAGGGGGUGGUGUGUUCCUUGCAAGAGAAAUAUCCUCGCUCCGGAGCUCGCAUCCCUCCCCUGAAAGCCGGGCGCUGAUUUCAGCGAUUCCCUCCCAGUGAAGGCGCUCAGUUUAGCGCUUUCUGCUGAAGUUGCUCUUGACCUGAAGCCAUCAUGCAGCAAGAUGCUUCCCUGUUGGGAUGCAGGGUCAUGGCGAGUGCAGCUCAUUGCACCGCCUGCUUGCUGGGCUGCAGGCAGCUAUGCUGCUCCCCUGCCUUGCAUUCCCCCAGAGGGAGGGGGCUGCUCAUGUAGAGAUGCUGAAGCCAUUGCAGGGAUAGGACUGGAGAAGGUCUUGGUGCAAUUACCCAAGAACAAGCUCAUUCUGAGUGUGUAAUGGCCAAAAUGCAAAGUCUUGUGCAGCCUCCUCAACAGGCAGAGCUCCAAGCCGCCUGCCUCCUCUGACACCCUGUAAUUCUCCAAAGGAGAUUCUGCUCACACUGUGUAAGCAGUGUCAGCAUUCACCCUUGCUUUGAGCUUGCAUUUCUUGCAUAGAGGUCUGUAUGAAGGAACAGAGGCCAAUAGCCAUGUGCACGGGUGGAAGGUUGUCAGAGGACAGACACACUUGGAAUAAGAGGCAAGUUUAUAGUGAAGCUUUUAGCAGUUGGAGCAGUUUUGGUGGUGCUCAGGAUGCUUUGAUGGAAACAGGGUGUCUGACAUCUUAAAACAGAUGCAGCUUUUCCUUUUUUCCAUCUUUUUUUCUUUCCUCUUUUCUCGGAGCGCAGCACUCUGCCUGUGCCAUGUCCAGAUAUGGCCUGCGCUGGGAUGGGAGCUGCUAGCUAAAAAAGCCACAGGCAGCCCAGCGGGACCAGCAGCAGCUGGUAUAAAUAGUGCUCAUUCUCAGCUGCCCCUCUGCCGGGCCGGAUUAGGUGGCAUCUGGGCAGCCAGGGGCUCGUGACCACCGGCUGCAGAAGUCCCCAAGCAGCUGUGAGGGCAGGAGCCGUCCCUGCAAAGCCCUUACAUAGGCACGUCGACCCUGGCAUUUGGGGGGUCGGGUAAAGCUACCGGAGCAGGAAUCCGGUGACCUAAGAAUGAUCAGGAAUAAAUUUCAUCGCGGCAUCCAGGCAGAGCUUCCAAUCUGGGACAUGGCCCAAGGUUGGAGGCAGGAUCUGGCCUUCUGCUUUUUACCCCAUUGCAUGCAUGUGGAAUCUGCAGGGAUGGUGAAGCAUUGCUCAGAGUGGCCAAGAUGCGGUUGCGUCCCCCUCUAGGACACAAUGAGUUAAUUUACUGUCAGUGAGAUUAUUGGAAUCUGAUUUAAUACUUGUGUUUACUUCAGGUCAACAAAUUAAAAAAAAAACCAAACCAACACCACAACAAAGCUUAAUAAUUUAAGGCACCAGCUUGAUGGAGGCUAAUAGAAAAUAAUGCAUCUCGUGCAGAGAUUUCCAUCCCAAGCUUGCAGAGCAUGCAGUGUGUGCCCCUCCUGCCAUGCCUGCAGUCAGUGCCAUGGGAAGGGGCGGUGUGGUGCCUGGAGGCAGCUCAUGAUGUAUGGAAGUAAAAAAAAUUGAGCAGUGAAUGGGAUUGGUUUGAUUGAGUGGAGAUAAACGCGCAGGCAGUAGCUGAAAUGUGAUGUGCGUAGUGGGGGAUGUGGGAUAAAACUCUGUUGGCAUCACAGGUCAGAGUAGAGAGGGUCUGCUGGCGGGCAGGUGAUGCAUGGGUGGGCACAGGUGAUACUCAGCGUAUGAGUAAAGGUUGUUGCAGAGUGUGUUGGGGAUGGUCCCAAAGUGACCACAGUCUGGGUAGGAGAUGCCUGGAGCCUUCAGGUGCACUGGGAGAUGCGGCACUACUCACAGGGUGAGAUGGCAGUUCCUUAGUGGGGAAUGGCUUCACCGCUAAAUCAGUGCCGGAGCUUUGUCCCUUCCCUUCCUUGCCGUACGGGUCAGGGCUCUGAGCCACACCAGGUUGUGUUCUUUAAUUUAAGCUUUGUCCUAAAGUCUUGUCUCAGAGAUAAUAAGACGCACACACAUACGCACCCGCUAAAAUCCAUUGUGCCAUUUUUGCAAAGAACAGCAGAAGCUGCCCGUGUGCCUUCCCCUCUCUGUCCUCCACACUCAUUUGGCCUAUUUGAAGUGGAAUUUAUUCCUGGGAAGGUCCCCAUCAAUUUGCCUUGCUCUUUUGUUGACAAGUUUAUUAAAAACCUGGGCAACUCCAUAUUAAACUUUUAUCAGUGUCGAGGAAGAAUACGUCCUUAGAGCGGCCACAAAAGUUAUGGAUUGGAUCUGAACAUUUCUUGUUCCACUGUCCAGCUGAGUCAGCUUAACAAAUAAAAGCUGCCACCUCCAUUUUUUUCCCUUCCUCAAGAGACAGUUCCCUUUCCCGUGUAAGUAACAGCAGCAAUAACACAAGGAGGUUUCAGGGCCGGGCAAACAGGAGCUUUUCUUUGCACCCACCAGUCCUUACUGCUGAUUAGAAUAAUAAUAUUAACAGAAAACAGGAAUAAAAUAAGAGCCCUGCCGGUAGUUAUAGCUUCUUACCUCUGAGCUAAUUGUUUGUGUAAAGUAAUCUCUACUUUAUAGACAAAUAUACGAAAAAAAUACCCCCCAAAGUUAAUAUGGGUUGUACUGAGAGCAACGUGAGUAGUUUCACAUUUCCAUACCCUGCAAGGGCACGGAGGGUUGGCAGCGCGGCCGGCGGCAAUGCUCGGUUGGGGAUGUGCGGAACCGUCGCUCUUAUUCCUUUAGUUGUAAGAUUAAACCAAGAGGAGGCCAACGUGUUGCAGGGGAGAUGUUAAAAAUAAAGCGCUGGCAUCGCAUAACCUAGUUCCUGUUUUGCCUUGCAAUGGAGUUUUUAUGAGUUGAAAGAAACCGGCGAAACAAUCGGUGAGACGGAUUUUGAGCUGCCAGAACGGAGACAGGCAGGGGAGAAGUGAACCGAGUGGUGGCUCUUAACCUCUGCCAGAUAAAUAAAUAAAUAUCUGUCCCCAAACAACAUAUUUCUUGGCCUGUCACCGCGUCCAAGGAUUUUUUAGUUCUUAAACAGGUUUGCUGGCAUAAUUUGUCAAGUACAACAGGGAGGUUUCCGUGUGACAGAGGAUCAUUUUUCACCGCGCACGGUGGGGCACUGAAACAGUCCUGCAGGCUCAGAGCAGCUCCAUAAUUAGAUAACAGUUAACAUACGUGUAUUAGAGGGAUCAUCCUUCAUGCUAUGGGGCACAGCAGAGCCUGCCACUGCCGAUACCGUGCUGUGCCGAAAGCAGGCAGGGAGCGGGCCGGACAAAUGCAUCUUACUCCAGGAGUUUAUCUGCAUCACCAUUUGCUCCAAUUAUAACUAAUUGGACACAUAUUGCAUUUUCAUAGCAUCUAAUUUUCUAUUGAUUUUAACGGGACUGAUGGUGUUUUGUACUGUUAAGUGGUAUCUCGUACCCGUUGUUGUUUAAAAAUGCUGAGUACACUCCCCUGUAUGGAAUUAUGCAGUCAGCAGAUGUUUUAAAACCUCUUUAAUUGUUCGGUCCAUAAAAUGCACAAAGUGUAUUAGGGAACAGCUUUGUUCUCUUUGAGUGUGUGAGUUUAAAAAUCCAAACUCCAAACUAUUUCUGCUGCCAGUUCCAGGAGCUGCAGCUCUCAGCGGGCAGCCCUGUCCCAGGGGUGGGCUCCCUGCUGCAAUGGAUGCUCCGCAGUUCUUAGGCUGUGUAUGAAGCAGGACCUUCAGCUCCAGGGUGAAAUUUGGAUUAAGACGAAGAUGUUCAUAUUGAGAGUCAAGAUUUUGAUAAGGUCACUUGUGGUCUUCUGUAUAACUAAGGAAUAAGCUGGUAAUUGGUAGGAUUUGGGGUUAUAUUCUCUGUUAUAGAUCUUGCUCUCUGUCUCGACAGUACGUCCAAAUAAAACCGGACUAUCAAAUUAGCCACUGCAUUUCAGCAAAUACUCAGUGAAGCAGGAUGAAAGCAAUAGUCCUCUGUUCAGCAUCAUUUAAAGAAGAAAAGAUUUAAAUGAGAUAUGUAGUGGAGGAGCAGAGAGGCAGCCGGGAAAAAGCUUUCCUAGCAUUGAUCAUUACAAGCAUGGUGGAGAUUUGAACGCUUCGGAUAUUGGCAUAUGAGGAAGAAGGUUUUUAUGCUGAGGGCGGUGAAGCACUGGCACAGGUUGCCCAGAGAGGUGCCCCAUCCCUGGAGACACCCAAGGUCAGGCUGGAGGGGCUCUGAGCACUGAUGGAGCUGUGGGUUUCCCUGCUCAUUGCGGGGGGUUGGACCAGAUGGGCUUUAAAGGUCUCUUCCAAAUCAAGCCAUUCUGUGACCCUGUGAUUAAAGGUAGAUAGGGCAGGCAAUAGGAUAUGGGAAUUGUUCUGCCUGGGGUGCCUGUGGGCUGCCAUCAACCCGCUGCCUUCUCCAGCCAUUAGCAAGAAUUGCAUCAUGUUGGUGGGAGACAGGUGGGAUCAUGGAGGUGUAUAAACUAAAUAGACACUUUAUUAAGUUCAGGUAAUAGUUUUGAAAGACUGAGUGGCUACUGCACUGUCAGCAGCUCCUUUAGUGCCCAUAGGAACUGAGUGCUUUUUAAUUAAGUCAAAUAAAAUCCAAGCGGAAGACUUCCCAGCCUUGGCUGAAGCAUAUUUUUUGGGUUGAAUACCUAUAAUUUUAGAAAUGUUAAUAAAACACAGUCCACUUUUUCCCCUGUAAUAAUAUAAAUUAAAUUAAUAUUUUAUGUCUGUAAGAAAAAGGAUAAAAGCACCGAGGUUGUAUUUUCUGGCUUACAAAUGGCACAUUGUGCAGAAUACAGCAACUGUGGCAUUGAUUUAAACAUCCUCGCAAAGACACCAUGCAAUAAAGUUGAAUCAUCUGCAGUACAAGUAUGGCUGUUUGGGGGAAAAAUAGCCAAAUGAGAGAGCAGACGUUUUCCUGUAUUAUCAAAAGCCACUUCAUUUUGGGGAAAAUUCCUCAGAUUUAGUGACAUUUGGAUGGAAAUCAAAUAACACAUUAACUUGAGGAAAGGGAAAAAAACCUUCCAAAGCUAAUUACAGAGGGAAUGUGCACUUCAUUAAGAUAAAGCUGUAAGAAAUCAAUGUUCUGUAUUGUUGUUUUUUCCUUUUGAUUGGAUUUUAGCAUGAUAAAUUGUUAAUGCAUUUGAUCUAAAAAUGAUUUGUUUAUUCAGAUGAAGAGCAACAGUACUUUGUCUCAUUUGGCCUUUUAGCUUAUAAUGAUAAUGAUUUCAAGAGAUGUUCAUUUCUCAAAAGGGUAUUGGACUGGAAUAAGCAGGAGAUUUCUGGACUCAGAAGGAUGGGCCCUACACAAGGGAUCCUUGUAGGCUAAUUCUAUUGCAUGUUGAAUCUUCUGCUUCAUUAGGAAUAUCGACAAAUGUUGAUAAAUUCUUUGGCUAUUCUGUGCUGUCUAUAUAAAACAUCUUCAUUAGAAUGUUGAGGCUAAAGCACAAAGGUCUUCAUUGCCCCAGGUUCUCUUAUGUUGCCCACUUUUGGCCCCACUUGCCAUGGCAGUGCUUUGAUAACACAGGGAUCUGGCUGCUCUCAGAAGUGUAAUCAUGAACUGCAAAGCUGACACUUAGACCAAAAGCAAAACCGAGGCAUUACACAGUGACUGGCAGAGAGGGGAAUGAGAUGCACAGCUUUAUUUUGCUAUUUUGCCUUGGAUUUGCUUCAGAGAUGUGUUCCUAUAUCUCCCCAGUGCCAUUCCACUAUGUGGCCAUUCCUGGCUGGGGCGGUGUCGGUCCCAUGGGCAGGGUCCUAGGGACAGAGCGACCAGAAAGGACCUUCCCAGUGAGACCCAAUUCCAAGCACUGCUGGGAGGAAACAACUGGAUGAGGAUGACCUUCAGACAGCAAACCUAAAUUUGGUGGCACUGGGUCGCCCGGUCCUUGAACCUGGGAGGGCAGUAGGAAGGGUAAGUGACACCAAAGCCUGGUCUGACUGGGUUUCAGCACAGCUCACACCUUUGAACACAUCCAGCAAAGCCUCUGCAGUUCCUCUUGCUGCACUGCUGGCCGGGCCCAGGUGUGUGGGGGCUGUGAGCCCCAUGUGCUGCAGCCCUGCAGCAGAGGUGUGGGGAUGCUUUUCCUCAGUUCUGGGAAAGCCUCGCCGCCAGAGCCAUCGUUAGUCGUGAUUAAUGGCAUCCAGAAGAGAAAACCUAAUUUUCUAAAAAGGAAAACCUCACUCAUAACUCACUGCAGAGAAUUCAAACAAAACGUUACGGAAUGUCGGCGCGUGCUGGCAUUGAUUUCGGAUGUGCUGCGGGGCACUCCCUGAAGCAAAGCGAGGGGAACAGAGCAGCACUCAUCUCCAGCAGAAGAUGCUUGUUUUAACGCCCUUCCUGCCAAAACCAAUGGGAUGGGGACAGGACAAGGGCACCUGGAGCACGCCAUGCUGAUGUUCGGGCAGUUCAUUGCUCUGCCUCCCAAAAUCCACAUGCCCGUCAGGGUUCAGCUUGCAGUCUCGGUGCAGCAUCGGUCACUGCUGGCACUUCCACCUCCUCCCGUUCUCUGGUAAAUAAUUACUUCCCUCCCUCCUAUAACUCACCAAAGGAUGAGUUUAAUACUUCUAGGUCCUCACUGUCUAAGUUUCCAUUUAGCUCCUUGGCUUGAUUGUCUCUUGAAAAGGUACCUAGAGAUAACUCGAUUAAAUUAAUUGUAGAGCUCUUUUAAAAAAGAUGUUCUCUCUCUCUUUCGCUCUCUCUCCGCAUUUAUUUAUAGGCAGCUUACAGUACUGGGGCUGGGCAGUUAAGUGAUCUGCACUACUUACUGUUACAAUGCAAAGCCUGGAUUUCUUGGGGACCAGCAAUGCCGGCCCACCUGCAAUAUCUCUGCAUGCAGUGCCUUUCAGCACAGGUGCUUUUUUCUCGGUGUCAUCUCGUGGUGUGUGCGGUGGGCUGUGAGGGAGAGGGGGGAAAAAGUCACCUUUGCCUCGCGAUGCAUGUAAAUUCUUUAAAUAGGUUACGCACGUGGCGAUGUGCAAUAUCUGCGCGUGGCACUGGGUUACGAAGGAAAGGUCUGGCUUUAUUGGCUCCCACUGCUGUGAUUUAAAAAUCUGAUUUACUGAGUUAUUGGGAGCAGUGGGUGCUCACAGCGUGGGGCUCUCCGGGAGCUGCAGGCUGAGCCCUUGCAGAGGAUGGGGCUGGGAGGCUGCAGGGCUGCUCCGCUUUCUCUUCCACUCAACGCCCUCCCGAUGGUGGUAAAUACAGUCCUUGCUUGUCUUCAACAGAUCUGAAAGCCAUGGAAAGCACUGAUUUUAAAGGUAGAUGAGAAAACUUGAGUUACCAGAAUGCAGGGCACAGGUGGGGAUAGCAGACAAAAGAUCUGAAAGAAAGAAGGCUGGAGGUGGCAAUUAAAUGACCUGGAUUAGGACACUACUCAGUCACACUGUGGUAGCAAUGCAGCUUCAAAACAGAGCCAAACACCGGGUUUAAAAGGCUACAGGCAGGCACUGAGUGCUGCAGACUGUUCCACUGCUUUUAAAACUGCCUCUUUAAUUCAGACUCGCUCUUCAGCCAAAGCUGCUAAGAAGCUUAAAUAAAUCCUGAAUGCCUGAAAGCGAAGCCAUGUGAACCCGUGCAACGUCAGGCAGCAAGUUCAGAAGAGGUCCUGGCGACUGUGAAGGAAAAGGCCCUGAGGAGUUCCCCUCUUUGCUUUGCAGAGCGUGAGGCCAAAUGCUUUGCUAAAGCUGGUAAAAUGGAACCAAAUCAACUGUUCAAUGGAUUUGGUCCCCUUCAACCAGCUGUAGCUGUGCAUUGAUCUCUCAGACGCACCUCGGAGGCUGACCCGGACAGCAGAAGAAAUGGGCACGUGAGAGGGGCCAAGGAGGGAUGCUGAUGGCUGGCGUCUGCAGAUCUGUCACCCGGGCUCUAAACUGGUGGGCUGAGCCCGAGCCAUUAUGUGGCUGCCAGUCAAUUCUGUGUAACGGAGACCACUCAAGAUUGAUAAUCUCUAUCGUCCUCCUGUAUUGAUCCCAGCUGUGAUUCAGGUCUGUGUAUUUCAAGUGCAAAUGCUGUACGUUUUACAUGUGAUUGCUCAGACACCUCCCCCCCAGGAGCCUCGUGCCUGUGUUUCAUCCACUGCAAUGAAGAAUAAACGUUUUGAUCUGAAGUUCCCUCCUUGUGUUUUGUUCCAUGCGCUGAGCUGCUCACGAAAUGGGAAUUCUGGGGCUGGCAAGGCAGGGAAUGGGGUGGAAGCACCUGCUGCUUCCCAGCUGCCCCAAACUGGCCAGCAAUAUUGGGUGAUUUGAGAGAUAAUAGCUUUGUUCCAAAAAAAAGUCUCCAUUUGAAUGUGUUGGGCUUAUGUUUCUAAAGACCUGUGAACUGUCUGCUGGUCUAAUCCUCAUAAGCACAAAUAUUAUGCUAAUGGACUUAAAGAAAAUCACUGGUUUUCCCCAUGUCAUAAUGAUUGUUGGGAAAGGACGUUGGGCAUCAUCUCUUCCUAAGUACUGUAAAUCUAUAGGACUAUCACAAGCUAUUACUGCUGGUAUAAUGAGCCAUUUGGAUGCAUAAGUCUGAUAUGAGAUUGCUCACAUCUUUACUUUUUAAAGAUACCUGGCCCAGGAUAACCCCUGGCAUUAGAGGAGGCAGACAUUUCUCUCUUUUCUUAUGUAGGAAACUGGGUCGCCUGACUCCAGGUCCCCAGUCCCUCAGGUACCGCUUAAAUGUUCUUAAUAGUAUCAGGAGUAUUCACAUGCUUUAAGAGAUGGAGCUAUUUGCUAGAUUUGAGGUUUAACGUGCGUCUAAUUUUUAUGUCACUGAGUGUUUUAAAGACAAAGACAUGAGGAGCAGUGGAGCUGCAGGAGCAUCCCUCCUCAGCUAAAAGGAAACCCAUGCUUUCCUCUGUAGCUCAUUUUUCUCACCUUAAGUGUCAAAGCGUCUAUGCUGAAGUCCUACUGAAAUCCAAAUAGUGGUUUGGUUGUUGUUGUUUGUUUUUUUUCCAUGUAUUCCGUUAGAUCAGGCAAAUACCUGGUACUUUUUCCUGAGAACAAGUUGGGGUUGAGGAGCAUGUGCAGAGCUGAGGGCUCAGGUCUCCAGCUCUCCCCUUUGGGAAGCAGUAAUCGCUUCUCACACUGAAAAGAAUGCUUGGGUGUCAAAAGUUCCCUCAGAGUGAACAGCAUACACUGAGAAUACCUUCCAUGCUGAAAUCCCCUCUUGCUGCAGCCUGGGCAGUGAUGACAGAUAAGUUUCUAGGGAGCUUCUGGGAAGAUAAGUUGUUUGUUCUGUUAUUUUCUUCUUUUCCUGUGGUUCAUCAAUCUCUUAGUGUAAAUAUGUCGGGGAGGAGAAGCAGUUGUAUCAGCACUGAUCAGGUAUAUUUGCUGCAUUCGUUCUGAAAAAUGCAUAAGUGGGAAGCUGUGCAUGAACUGUUGGAGGAGGAUGUUCUCCUUCACACCACCCUGGAAAUAUAUAAAAGAAAUAAUUAUUUUUUUUUUUUUUUCCAAAAAUGCAACGUCUCUACAAACACCCACCAGUGCAUCCAGAAGGGCUUUAUCCUUGUCUAAUAGGAGAUGCCCAAGCCCUUACAACAUGAAGUUGCAAAUAUUUUAGCCUGUAAACAGAGGAAAGUGAGUAGCUCCAAUGAAUCUCUGCAGCAUCAUGGGGCAAAUUGACAUCCAUGCGCAGGAAGGAUGCUCGUGGCUUUACAGCCACAGCACGUGGCAAAAUAGCCAAUGGUCACCACCUCUGCAGCUGCAAGCUGCAGGCACGCAUUUUUGCACACUCUUUUCCCUGCCAAUUGUUUGCUUUGUAAUCAACAGUGCUGGUUUCUGGGCAUUAUCCAAUCCCACCCCCUAAUUUUGCAUCAAGUGAAAGCAUCAGUGAAGACAGGAAUGAGCGUGCAUGCAGAAUCGCUGUGCAAAUGCCACCCUAAAGCUCUUGCUGCCAAACCCAAGAUUCAUAAGCAAGGAAGGAUGGGGAUGAAAGCACUGGGGAAAGGAAUCUCCAGCACAAACAGGCAGUUUGGGCUGUGGGUGAUACUGGGACAGGUUGAGUAGAACCGGGUGCUUCCAGCAGGCUGUGGCUUGGCUUUCCAAAAUAGCAUGCUCCCCACUCCUGCAGUCUGGGUUAUUCUCCCUCACUCCCCAAGGCUGCAUUCGGUGUAAACAGCACCUUUAUUAAAAUUCUUCCUUCGGAAUGUUAAUUAAAUUACUAAAAAAUGACAAAUGGGGAAGCUGAAGACAUCACAACUGGAACAAAACCACGGAAUAUAACUGAAAAGGUUUUCUCCUGGUGAAGCAUGGGUGGACAAGGGCUCACCUGCUGCAGCAGCUCAGGGUGAUUUCUUUUAAUGGGGCUCCCAGGCUUUGGCUGUUGGCAUCUACACAGAUCCCAGGCACAUGUUCCUCUGCAGGAAAUACUGAAAGCAUUUGUUGUUCCAGAAAUCCUCCCAUAACAGUGCUGGAUAUAUGUGGGAACAGUGGUUCUCACAGCAUCCAUACAACAUGUUAUGAGUACAUGGCAUUUUAUCAUCUGAUGCAGUUGUUGUGCAAUGAUGUCACACUACUUUGAUCACUCUAUAAACCCGUGUGCCAAAACAUCACCUUGGUCUGUGUUUUGGUACCCCACAGCCAUCUGAGCACUGAAUAGUAGGAAGCUUCCAUUUCACUUGAAGCAAGAAGAUGGAUGUGGGGAUUUUAAAGUUGGGCCAUGUAUUUAGGAGCUUAAACUUGGAUCUCACCUUCAGACAUCUACGUUUGGAAAUUUCUGCAGUUUGUCUGUCAAACCUGUUCACUCUCAAAUCCCUUCUGAUGCUCUGCAUAGGAGCAAAUGGAGCUUCCAUUUCAACCAGGACAUGGACCUACCCAGGGUGUGAAAACUGGAUCCUCUCCAGUUGGCUUCUCAUAAAGCACAGCUAUGAGUGGAAGUUCUACCACUGACUUUGAAUGCCCCAGCAUCAGGCCCUGGCUCAGGGACUGCCAUCCUUUAGCCAACCACCCUGUAACUCCAUCAGGCCUAAUUGUCCUUCAAAGCCACUAACAGGCUGAUCUGAUGGCCCUCCAGACCCUGCUGGUUUCCUAGAAACCCUAUUAGCUUCUCAAACAAAGCAAUGCUGAGGACUCUGUCUUGCAAACCUUUUGUGCAAAUAUUAAAUAGCAGUGGAUAAUUAGCAGGAAUAAUCUUUUUUUCUUGACCUCUUCUGUAAUAAAGACCUUUGUCAGCAAAUGCAAACGUUAUUUUGAGCAGUAAUUCAUAAUCUAAAUCUGCUAAACACACCAGACUAAAUACACCUGCACUCUCCUAUCCAUAGUGUUUGUACAGGACUUUUAAAAGGGAUACAGACACAUUAUCUGUCCCAAAGACCUGAACACAUUCAUCUGUCAGGUGAAGCAGAGGAGGUGGCAAAAGAGGUGGUACAGAAGGGAAGAAGGAAAAUAAAACAGUAAAAAAAAAGUGCACAAAUAAAUUUACCCACUAAUUUAGAUUACACCUCUUGGGGCUCUACUCAUGCUUUGUGGGUAUUCUCCAAAUGAACUGCACGGUCCCAUUAACACCAAGAUGGCUAGCAAAAAAUCAGGUUGGCUCUCUUCCCUAAAGACAUCAUCCUCAUCCUUUCUUACCAGGAGAGAAAAAUCAAAUGGUUCCUUCAGCUUGUUGAGCAGGACUCAAGCUUUGGACUCUUCCAGCCUGUUUUGGUUUCUCCCUCAAGACAAGCAGAGGGGUCUAAUGACUCUUGCCUCUUCCUCCCUAAUCUUCUAUUUAGCAAUAUCCUCUCUGGAAAUCCCCGAAAGAAAGGAGCUAGAAAUUGUCCCUCUCCUUUAGCAUUAGACCCACUUUUACCUUUGGUGGUCCACCAAUGCAUCUCUGGGCGCAGCAAUCAGAUUAUGUGGAUUUUGCCCACGGCAUUUUACUCUGCAGGUCCUUUUCCUUUGUAUGGUUUUUUUUUUCUUCUUCUUUUUUCUUUUUUUUUCUUUUUUCUGAGAGGAGAAAAAAAGAAAAGACAAGCAAACCAACAGGCAGAUAAUUGUUCUGUGCUGACAGUUUGUCAAGUGAAGGAAGUGCAAUUUUAGUCGAGAGAUCUACAUUACAGCGUUACUUGAGCAGAAGUCUCUUCUUUUACUCCCAGAUGGCAUUGACAUAUAGCCUGGAGGGGCUAUCAGGGUACAAAGCUAAAGAUGGUUAAAGACAUUAAAAACUGUACAAUAUGAGCACCGUCUACACUGGGACCAUCACCUAGGAUGAAGAUUCACCCUGACGUAUUGGGCAGAAAGCAAACUGAGCUGAAGGUAUUUUCAAGAUACAUGAAAAAAAUAUAUAUAUUCCUGCUCCUAACCGUGUCUUUUCUAGUGGGUCUUUAUUGACUCUUUAAAAACUAUGACCAAUAAAUGUAAUGAUCUGCCUUCCUCUUUCUUCCUGGGUGAAUGAUGGCUCCUGCAGGGUGUUUAUCACUGAGUGUAAUGGCUGGUUGAUCAGUUCGUGUCCAACUCCACUUCCCAGCAAGCUAUUGAACGCCUCCUCCUCGUCACGGGGCCGCCAGCAUUUCCCCCAUCCUGCCAGAGCUUCUGUUAAGCCGUAUAAUAAAUAUUGCACUCAGAACAAGAUUGUAAAUCUUGCCAUAGGACAGAGGGUAUUUGCUUUUCUGCCUUUCUUGAGUUUCGUGUUGCCUAAGUUGCUGUAAUGUACUUAAGCAGAGAACAGACUUAAUGCUCUUGCUUUCUUUUUAAUAAGAUGCAUAGCUCAUUUAUCCAGUAGGUGCAGCUGGAGGGGAAGAGAACUGCAAAGAGGGGACUUCACCUGCUGGAAAAUAUUCUCUACUUCCCCCAAAAGUGAUGAAAAUGUCAAUACUAUUGACACAAUCACUAAUUAAAAACGACUGCCAUAAUCAUGCAUAUGACAGCCGUAGGACAUCAGUUUGGAUUAAAUGUGAGCAGCAAGUUGUGCUGCACAUGGUUUCCAAAAGCAGAAAGGGCUGGGUGAUGUUAUCUGCUGUUGGAUGUACAUCCAAGAGAGAGAAGGAUGCUCUUAAACAUAGUUGCUCUUCUUUGCACAGCCCUGGUGCUUGCAUGGCCUGAAUUCUUCGCAGCAAUGAGAAAAAAGUGCGUCUGUUUUUACUUCCUUGUCCAUGUUUACUUAUUUGACUGAGGUUUAAGCAGUGCCCUCUGCUCUGUACAUAGUGUGGGCACCCAAUGUGCAGGCAGCCAUCCCAGCAGCUCAGUGCUCGUGCAUUGCUCCCAUUGAGUUGUAGUGACACCUCAGGCUGGGUGUGCAUAGCCUUUCCUCUUUCUCUCAAGGAGUAAAAUCCUUUUAUUUAGGGGUUUUAGCAUGCAGACUUACAACAAAAAAUAUCUUGUCAAUGCCCCACUUGGAUUAUUUCCUUACGCAUCGGUCUAACCGGGUGAGAAAGAAUUCCCAUUUAAAUGCCUACGGUUCUUGCAUUAUGCCUGUGAUAUGAAUGCAUGCCCAGGCAUCUCAUCUACUCCAGGUCAUUGUCUUUAAUUGGACAAGACCAAAAAUAAACACUGCGACCUUCCACAUAGUCCCAGGGGCUCCAGGGUGGGAUGGAGCCUGUUGGUUCUUAUCUAAGCAGAAAUGUGAAUCACUAGGAAAGUGUAUGUGCCUUUUCAUGGUGUGGAGCAUGGACCAAUGAGCCCUAAACCUCAGGAAGGACAGAAAGAGGGCCAACCCUCUGAGUAGGGAGAGUUGUUAGUCUCAGACAGAAGGAGGACAGCAUUCAACAAUUGACACUUCCCAAAUCUAAUCAGCCUGACCCCAAAACUACCAUUGGAAAGGCUUACGAUAUGUGCCCGUCUCCAUUGUAUAGCAGAGGGAGGAGUGUAAAGCUGUCAAUAAAAACUUGAAAAAAAGAAAGAUUUUAAGAAACCAAGGAACAGAAAGAAUGUGUUAACUAAGAGUUGGGCAGAGUGCUUCCAUCCUAGUGGUGGUGGAAGAGCCAAAGGUUUCCCAGUGAUGCACUUUUUUCAUUUGAAACCCUUGGUUGUUCCACCCAGCGUGCAGUUUGACAUUGGGAGUUUUUUAUGUGGCAUGUUAGGAGGUCCUCAAGCAUGAACUAAUUGAUUCAUGAGUGGAUGAAUCCGAUGCAUCUUUUAAAUGGAAAACCGACAUCAUUCUCCAUCAGAGAUCCGCUAAUAAAGCACAUUUACUUGGUUAAUCCAUUUUUUUUUUCUGUGCUAAGUGCACUGUAUAAGGUAUAAAAAUAUCAAAUCAAUAGGCAAAGAGUAUAGAAAAACAAGUGAGCAGUGUGAGCCACCCUUGGGUGGGCUCCUUGCAGGACCUGAGUUGGAUCCCACUCCCAACACUGCACAGAGCAGCGGGGCUGCAGUGCACAGCUGUCCCUAUGAGCCCCAGGGGACAGCGGGUGCAGAGCCACCUGCUUUGGGGCCUCGUGGCACCACACUGCUCCCUAUUUUAAGCAGUAACUGGGUUAAAGGUGUCGGGUUAAUCUCCUUCUCUCAUUUGCUAGGAUUAUGAUAUUUAUUAUAGCAGAAGGAGCAGAGAAGCAGGAAUGCGUAUGGAAGACAGAGGCAUCUUCCAGCUCAGCCUGCACAAAUUCCCAUUUUUUUUUAAUUUUUCCAGGGGAAUACAGCAGUAUUAUUUCAGAGCAAAUGCCUGCACAGCCCCGUCUCUGCAAACACCACUCGAUCAGUGCAACUCUCUGGUGUGAGCUCAUUUAACAAGCGGUUGCCUUGCAGGCUGUGGAGAAUUGCCUCUUACCUAAUAAUUCUGCUAAUUUGCUUAACUUUCCCAGAUUGCAAAUGGCCCUGCCCUGAACAAGCAGCUUUCUAAAUGAACCCCCAGACAAUUUCUUGACAAGAAGGGAUCGGAGAGGUGCCUGCUCGGGGAGCUGAAGCUCUCAGCCUUUUUAUUUCUGACCUUUGGGCUAGCAUUCAGAUUUGCUUGUUGGGAAAACUGCAUUCCAAGUGUAUUUUCUUCAGGGAUUUACAAUACCCUUCUGCUUGUAAUUAUUCUCACCUGAUGUCUUCCAUAAAUUAGUUAAAGAUGCUUCUAUUAGUGAGCUCCCGUCCUGUUAAUUAUCGUGCUGCAGUUCCUUGCUGGUGGCCGCUCUGCAGCACCGGGGCUGCAUCCGUGCAAAGCUCCCGGCCGAGAGAUCAGGGAUGUAGUGUGUGGGUAAUACAAACGUCUGAGCAAUCUGGGAAAGAAAUGAAAACUGCUGUAAAGGUAAAUGUCAGACUAUUUAAAGACAAUGUUGACUAUUGAUUUUUCGGACGAGACUACCUCUUCAAAGGAUGGCAAGCGUUCCUUCGGAUCCAGACGAGGUAACUUAGGUGGAGGGGAAAGAGAGGGAGGUGAGGGAGUGGGGAGGGCAGAGAUUUUCCCAGCGAGCAAAACGAAUGCCUUACAAAACCGCUGGGAUCAAAGAUGUGGGUUGGGCUUUCCACAAAAUCCACCUUUCAGCCCCUUUAAGCACCAUGCCUUUCCCAAGAAACAAAGGGCUGAGAGGUUCUUGGAAGCACUGAUGAAUAAUAACAAGAUGAGUAGCAAAAUACUCGUUUCACUGCAGCUUUCCAUUGAAAAAUGAAACUUCAGGCACUCUCAGUGACUACUGAUGUGGCAAACUCACCAAGCUCCCUGAUCCCAUCCACGCUUCCUGGCACAUCAGCAUUGCAUGGGAUGAUGAGCAGAAAGGAGGAAGCAAAGCCAUCGUUCUCUAUGUACCUACAACCCAAAAUCUUUUGGGGGAAAUUACAAUCAAACUGGCAAUUUUGGGUCAUCCUUUCGAACUUUGGCUUCAUACGGUUUAAAGGAAAAUGAAGCCUGGAAUAAAAACUUUGUCUUUUUAAAAAUGAAGUGCAUGCGUACAUCUAUAUAAAAUACACACGUAUGUAUGCAAAGACAGGUUUGUUGGGGAUCCCGAGUGACUCUGUGGAAACAGCACGGCCACCUCAGGAGACACUGGUGUGACUCCGAGCCCUGGCACAUGGAAACCACUCAAAUCUGUAGUUAAAUCUAAAUGAAAAGCCUAUUACUCAUAAAUAAAGGGGGGCUGGGCUGCUGCAGUAGUUUAAAGCAGAAUUCUUCAUCGGUGUUGGAAUUUAAAGAUUGUAAAAUGCCACUUUGAGGCAUUAUGCAGUUGUGCAGAAACACUUCUUCUGCAGUGAAUUUAGUUCCAAGAACAGAUCUGGACCUAAGAGCUAUUACCUCUUUGUUUUAAGGUGCAAUCUGUCAUCCUGCAAGCUUCCUCGCAUGAAAAGUUUCGGGAUUGGGUAUUGAAAGGGCAUCAGCAAGAGCUGCAAAUAGCCUUAAGGUGAUCCAGGAGCAACUCCGCUCCCAGCAGCAGCUGCUUGGGUGAUGCUGGGCAGGAUCUGAGGUGGGGACACGGCAGGACAGACCCUCCCUGCUCCCUGCCUUCCCCUCUAUGGUGUUUUUUGGGUGCUUGAGUUUUAAGAUCGCAAGAGAACUUCUUUGGCACUCAACCCAACUUGCAGAGAACCCUGAGUCCGUGCAGGUCCUAAGGACUGCUGCCUGGGGUAACUUCUGGUUUCCACGCCUUAUUUCAACGUGGAGGUCUUCAGACAGCGUUAAAUGACAGAUGAUAGAAUUUCUGCAAGUGAUGUUCAUCUGAAUUUUAUUUUCUGAUGUUUUGACUCAUUGACUUGAUGUCUCUCUAUUAUGCACACACCUCUGGAGAUGUUACUGGCUAUGAUUAUGCGUGGCAUCGAGUUAGUGAAUAAAACCACUGCAGGAACUGCUUUACAGAUCACAGUAUCAUUUUCUCUAUAAUUGUCCCACAAACGGUGGAAGUUAUAUGGAGAGAGCAGCGUUCCCUGACAGACUGCAUAUUUUUGCAGCGUGCAUCAGAUCUCACUUUGGCUUCUGAGACUUAUUUCUGAUGGUUCUUGGGGAUUUAACUUUAAGACCAACGUUUUUUAGUAUCCAUAUACACUCCACUCUUCAUGUCAUCCAGCAGCACCAGAGGAUGAGCUGUCUCCUUAAUAUGGAUGAGAUACCAAUUUAUCUAAGUUAUCACCUCACUAUCUCUCAUUCAUCUCUGCUGUUAACUGCUGUGUUUCUGACAUCCAUACCUAAACAAUCAGCAACUUCUUCUCCUUUAAUUGAAACCAUAAGUAAUUUUUGGCUGGAAGUUCUUGUUGUGUGUGUAUAACGGCUUCUUCAUCUCCCAGCUGGAAUUCAGUGAUCCUGUGACUGAAUCAGGCUCUGGACACCUCAUUUUAAACCCACAACAUCACACAGACCCACUCAGCACAGUAAAUCAAAAGUCAGGGCAUCUUGCCACCAUCUGAAGAUAUAUGACCAAAUUAACAUGUCCCAAGCUCACUGCGAACAACACUUGCGGAUGGCCCAGGCGUUUGGCUGCAAAGUCAGCAAAGCUUUCCCCCUUCCUGAUACAUUCCCAGAACUGUGAAACUUAGCCCUACUCUUGGUAUUCUCUUUAUAGAGGGCCCCGGCUGUAUUAUGUAUCAAAUAAAGGUCUCAUUACUUAGUUCCUGGCUCCUUCGUGCCAUUGCUCUCAUUAAUCAUCCUGUUCUUCCAGCCCAUGCUGCAAGCCAUUGGGACUGCCUCAGUGUCCACCCCUGAAUUAAAGGCUUCAUUCCCAGACCCUCCAAGCUGGUGGUCUCCAUCCUUUCGUGACCCACUGGCAUACAGCCCCACAUUGCUGGGGGCACUUGGCCAUGAUGUCUGGAGUGCCAGUGCAAAGAAGUGGUCUUCCAAAUCUCAUCUAGGGGUCACCAGGGUGUUGCAAAGAGCACUGUGUUGUGCCUGCACGGAGAGACUCAACAAGGACACAAAAUGGAGAACAGAUUUGGUCGUGCCCCAAAUCUGUUAAUUUCACCCCCAAUCUCCUUCCAAAAAUCGUUGCCAAUUAUUGAGUACAGCAAAUGUACACCACCCACUUCUGUCCUGCUUGGUUUCACCCCCUGCACAGGGAGCACCCAAAUGAGCCCCACACUCUGUACUCCCCCCAGCAGAGCAGCACAGCUGCUUUCCUCUCUUCCUUGUGGUUCUCAGCAUAGAUCCCACGGGGUUUGCCACUUUCUGUGGGUAAUAUUUUUUUGCAGAAGCACAAACGACUCGCUCAGAGCCUUGGAAUCUAGCUCCCUUUGUGCUGAGGAUGAAAUGCAAAGAGGCAGAAAUGCAGUGGAGAGCAAACUUCUCUCAGCUGCAUGAUUUUACCAAAUCUGAUGGUUUAUUCAUUUUAAUUACCCUUGGAAUUCGUAUUUGUGUAUACAUAUACAUGAAUUCAUGUAAUAACAUGUAAUUAGUUUAGAGUUUGACAUUUCAGAACAGGUAAUUAAAAGAGUUUGUUGUUGAUUAAUCGCUUGCAAAAUAAAUUAUUAGCAGUAUCACCGUUAACGUUAUGUUUAUUACUACAAUUUGGAGAAAUUAAGGCAGUUCACUUACAUUAAAUUAAACACGAAGGCACAGAUGUAAUGUACCCUAGACAAUAUCUAUUUACCCAGAGAACGAAUGUGAUGUGUGCGUUACAAUACAUUUGCUAGGUCAUACAUCUUGGAUGGCCUCUGCGUGUCACCACCAGAAACUUAACACCGACGCACGGACACUUCCCAUUUCUUUCCAUACAUAGAAAAUUCGGGUAUGCCGGACCUCAACCCCUGCUCUGCACUGCAGCUCUGCGGGAUCUGCGGAUGCUGCAGGGUGCUCAGAGCUGCCUGGGGAGGAGGGAGCAGGCUGAGCAUAGGAGCUAGCAGGGGCAUGAGGGGCCAUGCCAAGUGCAAGCCCACAAAGCCUGCAUGUGGCAAAGAAAAUCAAUUUUUUACAUCCUCAGCAGACCCCCAGGCCAUUGUCAUGAACCAGAUUAUAGCCAAAGUGUGCAGAAACGGAAUAAAUCUCAGCACGACUCAAUGAGGUGCUAAAGGCUUAAGCAGAUUGGUUAAGUAUAAGUUGAAUUUGAUCUUUAAGCAACUGUGCACGGUCUCUACUGGGAUGCCGAGAGGUUUUGUCCUGUGAGGAGAUAAGGAGCCCUUGCUUUUGACAACUGUUUUGUCUGGAGGCCCUUCUGAUCCGAGUCUGAGAGAGCAAAGGGAAAAGUCAGUGGAGAUGAAAAGGAUGCUCUCUGGAUCUGUCCCUCUGUGGUUUUAUAGCUAUGGGAAAUAAUCUAUAAUUAGGUGUAUAAAACAGCUCUCUGAUCUCUUUGCUUCUGGCCCAAAAGAGCACAGAAUUGAUAACUCAAUUAUCUCUGCUGGAAAUACAAAUAAAUUACAAGCACGUGGUGGGAGGAACUCCAAUAAAGGGGCACCCACACAGCACAACGGGCGCUGCUCUGCAGCUGUGGGACCUCAACGCUGCUGCUGGGGUGAGGCUGGAAGGCAGUGGGUGCUCUUUGCUGGGGACUCCUUGAGGCUGAAUAUCUCUCUGGAUGGUGGCAGCCACUGGCAAAAGCACUGGGGCAAAGAUGGAACCCUCCCAAAUGGACCCAGGAGAAAAGCCAGGGCAAAAGCCCGCUGGAAGAGGAGACACUGUCCUGGAAGAGCGUGGCUUCUCAGAAAGGUGAUGAGCUCAGCUUGGGAAUGGGGAGAGAAAAGCAGGGCUGGGUUUAAACAGCUUUCCACAAAUGAGAAUAAUGAGUGAUUAUCCUUUUCCUGGCAAAUUCCUGGGAGUUUCCAUUUGGAAUUUACAACCGGAGCAGUGUAGGAUCUCAGGGGUCUCCUUCAUGUUCUGCCAAGCCAGCAGAGCCACCAUCCAGCAUCUACACCAACACCAACCCCUCUCCCCGCUGAGGCUCGUUUCUAAUGACUCCUGGGCUGAAUUAACAGUCUGUGCUUGUGUGACAAUGACAAUCAGCGCUAAUGACCACUCUGUUUGUCUAAUCCACAUGCUGAGCACUGAUUUCGGUCCCUGCCUCAGACUCCCUUUGCAAAAGAGUCUUUUUAAGCAAUUUAAAAUGUGCAGGAUGCACUGGGCUGUCCAUCCCUGCUCCUUUGAUAUUCUGCCGCCUGGAAGUGUCCUUGAGCCAACAGGCAGCACCUGUAGCGAGGUGUGCCCUAGGAUGAUGCAAAGAGCAAGAUGAGAAAAGCCUUUGCAUUUCAUAUCCUGUUCGGUCGACCUAUUCAGUAAUCAGGAAAAUUAUAUUUAAACAAUUUGCCCUUUGAUGCAAUCCAAGCGGCUCUGAAGGGCAAGUGCACUAUCACAGAAAGCUCCGUUUUUAUUCUGCAGCACACUUCGUGACCCCACGGGGGGAGUGUGUGGCAGUGCAGAUCCGUGGUUUAUUUAGAAAAGGAAAACAAAAGCACUCAACUGCCCCCGAAACCUUUGUGCCCCUUCCAAAAUGUCCCCCAAUUCACGAGGAGAGGGAAAACCAACCCAACUAUUUCCUCCUAUUCGCUCUGCCCAUUGGCAUGCAUUGCUUCACUGCUGGGGAGAAACAAGGUAGCACAAUAAUAUUCACUUUAUGGACUUGACUUUUUUAUUUAGGCAGCAGCAUCUCCCAUAAAGAAGCCUGGUGCACGUCAUCCUUCCUCCCUGCCCAUGGCAUGGGGCAGACGGUAGAGCAAUUCCAGCUGAAAGCUUUUAGCUCCUGUAACCGAUGAUUUAUAUUUGUGCUGUAAUAGCCAGAUACAGCAAUAAUAGUAAGGAUUUAAUUGUUUUAAUGAAAGUAGCUUUUUUUUUUUUCCUGCAUUCGAAUCAAUUUGCUAAGUUUGGAUGAUGGAACGUAAGAAUGGAUUUAGCUGCGCUUUCCGCACGCUCUGAACAAAAAGGCACAAGGCAUUUCAAAAGAACCAGCCUGACAUAUUAAAACUCUUAAUAAGUAAUAUCUGCAUAACUAAAGGCAAUAGGAGCAGUCCAACCUGAAGAAAAAAGGGCUUUACAGGAAUUAGCGUCUCAUUGUCACAUUUGUAAAAGGGACACAUGCAUUUUUCAGAUCUUUGCACAUUAAUGGCUGUAUUUGAUUCAAAAUACAGUCAGUGAACCCUCAGUAAAUGGAAUUAAAUGGUAUGUGUCUGAUUUGAGGGUGACAAUCCGCCAAUUGUUUCUUGUUUGAAUUACUACCUGCGUGGCUGGGCACAGCAGUAAUUGAAACUAUAAUGUUUCAUUCCUCUUUAGCUAUAAUUUAUCUGCAAAGUUCACUCUCUGCUGUUCUGUUCCCCUUCCUGAAAUCUCUCCUUUAACCGUUAUGGUGCUGUUGGGGACUGUAUCCCUCCUGCACACCCCAUGGAGCUCUGGGGAGCCCACCCUCACAUGGCACCGUGGAUUUCCCAUCGAAACUCAGAGCACACAGCGGCUUUGAGACCAUCUUAUGGAAAAACCAGUACAUGGCAUCACCAAACAUUAAACACUGUGUAGUCAGAAUUAUUGGCUGAACGGAGGAGAACCCGACGUUGCUCUUUCUUCUAUCCAUGCCUCGCUUUUCUAUUUUAGUCAUUUAUUGUAUUCUAUGCAGAGGUGAUGGGGCUGGACUCAGUGAUCCUCAUGGGUCCCUUCUGACUCAGGAUAUUCUGUGAUUCUUUGAUUCUAUGACCUGUGGCUGCCACAGUAGGAUCAGUGCUCAGCUUCUGCUAUAGAUAACAAAUAGAUGGCCUCUCUCCUGAUGCUAUCCAUUUAUAAGCAAUUUCUAGUCUGUUCUCACCCGAUAUUGAUAAACAGAAGAAAAUGGAAUGUAUUUUAUUCAUCCAUAAAGUCUGACAUUUCCAAAGAUGGAAUUACAUUACCCUCCUCAUCUAUCUGCAGCUCGUGGGGCUGUGGGUUGGACAUGCCCAUGUACUGCAGAGCAAUGGCACCCAACCUCUGAGCCUUUACAGUGAGCCUCUCUGAGACAGGCAAGGACAUCAUCCAUGCAAAAAACUGCAAUCACAAAACCCUAUCUCCCUGUCCAAGGGUAACUUGCUCUUGGCAGGGACGUUUCUACAAAAGCAUUCUCAUCUUACUGAGUCGGUACCACUACCUGUGUUCUGGGUGGGAUUUGAAUAAUGAAGGUUAAUUCAGGCAGAAAUCCUGUGUGGCUCGUGGCUGUCCAGGGAUGGGGUGGUGAUGCUGCCCACUGCCAUGGGGAGGUCCUGAGAGGAGACACAAAGAGAGGAUGGUAGAGAAGAGCACAGUGAGAUUUCAGAUUCUCAAAUAGCACAGCACUCAGAGCUGAGGAAGGGUCCUCAGCACACUGGGGCUGCCCUCCAGACACAAGAUGUGUGGAUAUGCUCCUGAAAGGCAUCCCUCGUAUCCACCCUCAAGCCCAUCACCAAUCCAUCCACCAACCUGCACCUGCUGGCACCCUGACAGGGCUCUGUGGUUGAGGUGGCUGAUCCAAGGAGAUGGGUGGAGAAUAGAGGUGGGCUGGCAUCUAAAUGCGGAGAGCUUGGCAGCGCACAGAGAAGGCCAGGCAGGGAUGGAGCGAUGUGAAGCACGAGGAGGGCAGCUGCUGAGAGGAACAUCACCUGAAGCUAUUCCUUCCCUGGGCAAUUCCCUGUGUCAUGCCCCACCAGGAGGUCCCCUGGGCCCUGCAGGAAACGAAGAGCAAGAGGAGGAAGCCUUCUCUCCUCCACCCUCCUCCUGUCCCAAACUGCAUUUCCCCUUUGGAAACUGAGGGUGCCACUUCACCAUCCCUCCUGCAUCCCUUGAUGGGCUCCGAGGCUGCCCCUGACCCAAGGGUCAUGGCAAGGUUUUCUACAGGCAAAUCCUCAGCAACAGAAGUAAUCCCUCAGAUGGAGAUUUCACCCAAACUGAGGCCUCCAGGGUUGUUUUGAAGCAACGUCCCACUCCUCCAGCUAACCUUCCGUACACAUAGGCUGUGUGUGAGGGGCUGUAUUUCAUGCCUUGGGUCACAGCCAUACUGAUUUAAGCCAGCCCUUUCUGGAUGUACCUACUGAACACUCUUUUUUUAUGCUCACCUCAGAGUGCAGGCUGAAUAAUUGGAGCAAGUGGCUGCAUUUCUCCGAAUAAAAGUGGGAUUUGUAUGUGGCAGAGGUCAGCGGUGCUGGGAGGGAAAGGUAAUUGACAUUCCCUUUGGGAAAACUGUAAAAAUUUGGACAGUGAUUGCUUUGGAUUUAUUGUCUGAUGACAACAUGGAAACAAACAAACAGCACAAUUAAGUGCAACUAAAGCAGUUCGGUUAUGCUGUGAGACUGAUGGCAGAGAGGGACUGGUCAGAACCUGUCUGUUGUUCAGCUCUUUCCCACCAACAAUGACGUUAGGGCAUCACAACAUGAAAAAGAAUAAAAAUAAAGAAGCCAAUGAAGUGGCUCUGAGUGAUGCUGGGAAGUGUCCCUGCUCCCAUGGGGCUCCCUGUGAUGCUGCAAUGCUGAUGGGCUGCAGGUCGCCCUGAUGGAAUUUGUGUGGCAUCCCACACCCCACCGUGGUGAGAGGAGAGCCCAUCUGCUGUCCAGCCCACAUGCCUCUGAUAAAGAAAUACCUGUGUAUGUGAUAGAAAUGCAUGUAUAUACCCACACUGCUGCAAAUCUGGUGUGGAUGUGCUAGGUGCACAGCUCGGAUUAACCCUUUCCUGGAUCACCCCUGUUCUUGGAACAAAACGUGCAUUAAAUUAAAAUGUUAAGAGAUUAAUUUGUAGCAGCUUUUCAUCAGCUUCUGCUUAAAGGGCAGCUUUGAUAUCCUUGCUGUUGGGAUAUUUCCAACAGGGAGCAAAUUGCUGACCCUCAUUCCACUCCCCCUCCUCCAGUCUUUCUGAGCAAGGCACUGGUUGUGUGCAUGCGGGAGGGCUGUCAGCACCUGGCAAGGCAGUCCUGUGUGCUGGGACACUUUGCUCUGAGCUGAGCUGAAGCAAAGGCUCGGAUAUUGCUCGUUCAUGUGGGUUUGCAUGAGCAGCCACAAACCCCAUGCAAAACUAUGGAGCAUCUCUGCUGCCUCAUUGUCACGUGUAUCAAACUGAUGUGUCAUUAAUAAUUAAAACUAUAUAUACUUUUCAAAUCUAAAGUACAGGACAGCAGUUCUUCAGCUGCUCCCUUGCCAGAGACAGCAUCUCUUCCUUUGCUUGCUCUCAUAGGUGCUGCUGCAGCACUGAGCUGUGCAAGCCUUGGACAUCGCCAUUCCUUUAUCACUCACUUCUGCCCAGGCUCUGUCUUUUCCCAUUAGGUGACUGUGCAGAAGUGUGUCCCACACCUCCUCUCGCUGUACCUCUAUCUCCAAACUGCAAUUGGGUUUCUUGGGGUUUAAUGGGAGCGCAGCAACUCCGGUGCAUUUAAAUAGCUGAUUUCUCCGCGUCUGAUUCAGGUCUUGCCUCCGGUGAUAUCAGCCUGGCUGCUGCUGGGGGACAAUGGCAUUCAGUGAAGGAGAAAAGCACUCAGGCACAUCUGUGGGGCAGGGCAGGUUUGGAUCCCACCAUCCCCAUGGUGAUGUCCCAGGGCCCUGCUGCUUCCCUUCUCAUUCUGAUGCACACCCCAAGCUCUGGGCAGUGCCAGCACCGCCAAUCAAUGCUCGGGCAGUUAUGGAUAGCCCACCUCGCCUCUCAGCUCAGAUUCCAAGGGGCUGCCACCACACUGUGCCCAUGUCCCCUGCAUGUUUUGCUUCCCCUGAGACCCCCGUGCCACCCCAUGCACAGCCCUCCCAACCCGAGGCCGUGUCCCGCAGUGGCCGUGCUCUGCCCACCACCCGCACACAUC